rnacentral:rRNA from 1 species
GAUGAACGCUGGCGGCGUGCCUAAUACAUGCAAGUCGAGCGAACAGACGAGGAGCUUGCUCCUCUGACGUUAGCGGCGGACGGGUGAGUAACACGUGGAUAACCUACCUAUAAGACUGGGAUAACUUCGGGAAACCGGAGCUAAUACCGGAUAAUAUAUUGAACCGCAUGGUUCAAUAGUGAAAGACGGUUUUGCUGUCACUUAGAGAUGGAUCCGCGCCGCAUUAGCUAGUUGGUAAGGUAACGGCUUACCAAGGCAACGAUGCGUAGCCGACCUGAGAGGGUGAUCGGCCACACUGGAACUGAGACACGGUCCAGACUCCUACGGGAGGCAGCAGUAGGGAAUCUUCCGCAAUGGGCGAAAGCCUGACGGAGCCACGCCGCGUGAGUGAUGAAGGUCUUCGGAUCGUAAAGCUCUGUUAUUAGGGAAGAACAAAUGUGUAAGUAACUAUGCACGUCUUGACGGUACCUAAUCAGAAAGCCACGGCUAACUACGUG